UGCAGAGAAUGUGUGCAGCCUCAGAGGGCCAGAGCCACCUGCCAAUUAGGUUUGAUGGUCUUCAGCUGUCCUCGUACGGCACACGGUGAUGGCAGCAGCCUCUGACUCAGGUCGGAGCCAGUGGCCCGAGAACCUCUCAGCUUAGGGGACGCCAACUGAGUCAGCAAUCACAGGACCCUCUGAGCCAGCCAGGCAUCCUUCCUUCCCAUCGAAGAUGGAUUCACAUCCCCGACUAUGGGAAAGAUAAGUGGAGGACUACCACCUGGAGAGGGGAUGAGAGCUGGGUCCAAUUUUAUGAUUAGGAGGGAGGAAUUUUCAAAUUAGCA